GCCCGUGAACAGCCGGUAAAUGGCCUAGGACGCGUGCAAGCAAGUGGUGUAUGUUGCAAGAAGGUAAUCAUAUCUUGAGAACGGCUCUUGUCCUAUUCACUUUGUGUUCUUUAAUGUCCCUGAUUCUCGAGGAAAAGGCUCUUGUACAUUUAUUUGCCCGUGCACGUCACUUGAAACCUUGAAGAAAACAACGGUUGGCUUCCCUGCUAUCAACUGUCCACGUCGACAUGCACGUUGCCAUCAUCGUCAUCAUUGUCAUCCUUUGCAGUUUAGAUGUGAUAUUGGUGGCAGGCCAAAACUGUAGAUUUCCUAAUGAUUGUUCACAACGGAAUCUGGAAGUGGCUUGCCAGUAUGGCCAGACGGAAUCGUGGUACCGAGACAAUGACAAGUCAACAUGUGUGCAACGUCCAUACAAGAAGUGUGGAUCCAAUUGCAACAACUUCAAGACAGCAGGCCAAUGUGAAACAUCGUGCAAGCCCGUCGGGUGGUGGUGGAGGCGCAAGUGAGACGAAAAUCACCAACAGACGGCCGCACCUGCGGUCGAAUCAUGGUGGAAAGUAACAAAACGUAUUAACUGAAUGCGCGAAUAAAAAAAAAAGUGUGAA